CCUCCGGGCCCUGUACCUCAGCAGGCUGGCGACGGCCCCCGGGGAGAAGCCCUCGGGAGCCGGCUGGCGGAUUGCAAUGUCACCUCGCGCGGGGAUGAAUCCUCUGCAGACGACUGAUGUGACCAAGCGGGUCGUGUAAGCGGUCAAGUAGCCUUGUUGCUACGAGUCGCUGAGCGUCAGCCCGACCUUGGCUCGAUUUGU
rnacentral:rRNA from 1 species